rnacentral:rRNA from 1 species
UACGUAGGGUGCAAGCGUUGUCCGGAAUUAUUGGGCGUAAAGAGCUCGUAGGCGGUCUGUCGCGUCUGGUGUGAAAAUCCAGGGCUUAACCCUGGACCUGCAUCGGGUACGGGCAGACUAGAGUGCGGUAGGGGAGAUCGGAAUUCCUGGUGUAGCGGUGAAAUGCGCAGAUAUCAGGAGGAACACCAAUAGCGAAGGCAGCCCGCUGGGACGGUACUGACGCUAAGGCGCGAAAGCGUGGGGAGCGAACAGG